rnacentral:lncRNA from 1 species
AGAGCACUUUUCUAGCCAACCUGCCUGCAGGUUCUGCUUUCCAAGGAACUCCAUUUGCAGCAGUGGCAGAAGCCAUCCCAGAAAGCUGAUGUGGUGAGGGACUGGAAAACUGCCACAUCUCAGGCAGCUGGCCGUGACGAUGCAGCACAAUGGAAUGGAGAGGUCUGUGGCUGCAUGACGAACAGGAAAGAGCAUGCUUGGCACCCUGAGGAUGUACUGGGGUACCUGUUGGCAUUUCCUUGCCCAAAUGGAAUAAAUGAACUGCAUCCUGUUUAAGGAUGGAGAUAUGGAUGACGCUCCAGCCACACCCAAAGCCAGGAAGACCUGUUAAGAUUGGUUCAAAGUGGAAAAGAUGAGACAUGGAUGGAAUCCAGAGAUAUCUAGAGUGGAGAACAAAUAACUGGCUGUGGGAAAUGGGGUGCCAGGAGGUGACUCUCAGAUUCUGGCUGAACAUCUAGGCAAGGCCCAGCCAUAGCUUACAUGUUACAAUAAAUUUUUGCCAAAC